UACGUAGGGUGCGAGCGUUAAUCGGAAUUACUGGGCGUAAAGCGUGCGCAGGCGGUUGAUUAAGUCUGAUGUGAAAGCCCCGGGCUCAACCUGGGAAUGGCAUUGGAAACUGGUCAGCUGGAGUGUGGCAGAGGGGGGUGGAAUUCCGCGUGUAGCAGUGAAAUGCGUAGAUAUGCGGAGGAACACCGAUGGCGAAGGCAAUCCCCUGGGCCUGCACUGACGCUCAUGCACGAAAGCGUGGGGAGCAAACAGG
rnacentral:rRNA from 1 species